rnacentral:rRNA from 1 species
AGCGAACGCUGGCGGCGUGCUUAACACAUGCAAGUCGAACGUGAAAGUAGCAAUACGAGUAAAGUGGCGCACGGGUGAGUAACACGUAGGCAAUCUACCUUAGAAUCUGGAAUAACAGGCCGAAAGGCUUGCUAAUACUGGAUAGAUCAAAACUCUUGUAAAGGGAGAAUUGGGAAAGGGAGGCCGCAAGGUCCCUCGUUUUAAGAUGAGCCUGCGUCCCAUUAGCUAGUUGGUAGGGUAACGGCCUACCAAGGCGAUGAUGGGUAGCUGGUCUGAGAGGAUGAUCAGCCACACUGGAACUGAAACACGGUCCAGACUCCUACGGGAGGCAGCAGUGGGGAAUUUUGCGCAAUGGACGAAAGUCUGACGCAGCAACGCCGCGUGAGUGAAGAAGGCCUGGUUGUAAGACGUCUGUCGGA